UGGCGGUGAGGAUGGCCGCUCGAUCCAUCGGAAGCAAAAAUUCAAGGCAUCGAAGAAAAGAAAGUUGGCUAAGAGAGUGACGGUGGCCAGAGAUCUGGGCAUUUCGGAGAACAAGAGGGGACGACGAUGGGAUGGGGCUACGAAAGGGAAGGGAGAGGGGUUGGUGGCGUCAGAGCUAGAAGAGGGGAGGGGAGGGAGUUUGGUGGUCACAUGGAGUUGGGUGCAAUGCGGACGGCUGGUGCGGUGCGGACGAUGGUGGGGUAGGGUCGGGUUGGUGGCGUCGCAGCUGGGGGAGAGGAGGGGCGGUCACCAGUGCUCGU
rnacentral:lncRNA from 1 species